GACGAACGCUGGCGGCGUGCUUAACACAUGCAAGUCGAACGGAAAGGCCCUGCUUUUGUGGGGUGCUCGAGUGGCGAACGGGUGAGUAACACGUGAGUAACCUGCCCUUGACUUUGGGAUAACUUCAGGAAACUGGGGCUAAUACCGGAUAGGAGCUCCUGCUGCAUGGUGGGGGUUGGAAAGCUUCGGCGGUGGGGGAUGGACUCGCGGCUUAUCAGCUUGUUGGUGGGGUAGUGGCUUACCAAGGCUUUGACGGGUAGCCGGCCUGAGAGGGUGACCGGCCACAUUGGGACUGAGAUACGGCCCAGACUCCUACGGGAGGCAGCAGUGGGGAAUAUUGCACAAUGGGCGGAAGCCUGAUGCAGCAACGCCGCGUGCGGGAUGACGGCCUUCGGGUUGUAAACCGCUUUCGCCUGUGACGAAGCGUGAGUGACGGUAAUGGGUAAAGAAGCACCGGCUAACUACGUGCCAGCAGCCGCCGCGGUAA
rnacentral:rRNA from 1 species